GAAAAACAGAGAGAGAAUAAUAUAUCCUGAAACUGGGAGUUUCUGCUCUGGUUGUGAGUCAUCUCAUAUGGCUGAUGGAAACUAAAUUUGAAGCAUUUGCAAAACCAAUUUCAUCACAAACUAAAUGCUACCUGAAGAAACUACAAACUAAAUAGCUAACUGGAGAAAUCUUCCUCUCCUACUUGGGAAGUCCAAGAGUCUGAAAUCAAAAUGUUGACAGGAUCGUGCUUUCUCCAAUGGACUAGAGGAGGAUCUCUCAGUUGUUUUAAUAUUCCUGCAAACUGGGCAGCUAGCUUCUGGGACUUGCCUGUCUCCAGUACCCAGCUUUGGAUUUAUAGAUUCAGAUGUAUUCACAAGUGAUCGGGAGCCACUGGAUGCAGUUAGUCACUGGGAGAAGAUCUUGCUGACCAAUAGACUACCCACUCCCCACUUCCUUC